UACGUAAUUACGCCUCUAAGAUGAUUGCCAGAAUCGAUUACAAACCAAAAGCUGAGGCUUAAAAGACAGCCCGCUUCUGACACCACACAGAUUCUUGCAACGUAAUGCAGCUACAUCACAUCUACAAUAUGUUAGUUCAAAGUGUUGUACCCUCGCUUGUCUUGACCAUUCUUUCGGUCAGUUCGACCGAUGGGUGUUAUUCUUCUGAUUUCAAGCUGGUAGAAAGAAACUUAGUGGAAGAGCUAUUGGCGGAGAGAAAUUUGGACAAAGAGUAUGCCUCUCUGGUUCUCAAUGACAAAAGAUAUCUUGAGCUAAAAUAUGAGUUAUACAAAUCGGAACAUUUUUUAAAAGCUGAUGCGUGGCGAGAAUGGAUAAAGCAAGGUCAUGG